UACGUAGGGUGCAAGCGUUAAUCGGAAUUACUGGGCGUAAAGCGUGCGCAGGCGGUUAUGCAAGACAGAUGUGAAAUCCCCGGGCUCAACCUGGGAACUGCAUUUGUGACUGCAUAGCUAGAGUGCGGCAGAGGGAGAUGGAAUUCCGCGUGUAGCAGUGAAAUGCGUAGAUAUGCGGAGGAACACCGAUGGCGAAGGCAAUCUCCUGGGCCUGCACUGACGCUCAUGCACGAAAGCUGGGGGAGCGAACAGG
rnacentral:rRNA from 1 species